rnacentral:misc_RNA from 1 species
CCUUGUGGAGGAGGACGCCGAAGGUGGGGCUAAUGACUGGGGUGAAGUCGUAACAAGGUAGCCGUACCGGAAGGUGCGGCUGGAUCACCUCCUAACAGGGAGACAACAAAAUGUUUAAUAUUAUUAUUUUGUCACCUUAGGUCGAUCGGUAUCUCACGUUCUUAAUUUUUAAGAAUUUCAUUUCCUAAGUUUUUCUAGGUCACACCCAUUAUUUUUCCUGGGCCAUUAGCUCAGGUGGUUAGAGCGCACCCCUGAUAAGGGUGAGGUCCCUGGUUCAAGUCCAGGAUGGCCCAUAUCUCUAUGUUGGGGGUAUAGCUCAGUUGGUAGAGCGCCUGCUUUGCAAGCAGGAUGUCAGCGGUUCGAGUCCGCUUACCUCCACUGAUUACCACCUCUUCCAUAACCGGUAGAAAGGAAAUGUUUUGAGUUGUGAUCAUUAUUCUGAACGAAUCUAGCUUCCUAAUGAAAUCAUUAAGAUGCUGGACUCAUUGAAUUAAUUUCAUUGUUUUCAGAGAACCUUGACAACUGCAUAGAUUUUUUUAAAGACAAUAAGCAUCUUUAAUGAUGCAGAUUUAUUAUUUGUGCGAAUGCAUUAAUAACAAUUCUAUUAAGCUGAUGCUUCAAUUUUUGAAGUUAUUGGUCAAGCUACAAAGGGCUCACGGAGGA